GCAAGGCUCGGCUCUCCCAUUAUUCCAGUCUUUUCUGCCUUCUCUAGCCUGCUCCAGCACAGGGGGCUUCGAACUCCCAUGAGUGGAGCAUACAAGACCUCAUUUGCUCUGGCUUGGAGAGCAGGAGAUGUUCUCACUGACGUUUGCCGGCCGAAGCCCUAUGGUAAGUUUGAGUGGGGAAAAUGGGGGUUGAUUUUCAUCGUGCAUUACUCUAGUUGACUUGAGGGAGGGUAGAAAGGGAACACAUUUUAACCAACUGUUGUAUAUGAAAAUAAAUAAAUUAUUGCUUGAAUUUCUUUCAUCCAUGUGUUUAAUGAGUAAGGUGAUUAUAUCUUUGGGUUUCUUUUUUAAAUAUUUUGGACUUCUACACUUUAUUUGAAGAAUCUGUUUAUAUAUCUGAACACAUAUACACAUAUGUAUAAAUGUAAUAACAUAUGGUCAGUGGAUUUGCUGGUGGAUUUAUUUUCCAUCAAGGGAAUGCUGAGCUUGUGACACAUAGAUAAUUUCUUUA
ensembl:lncRNA